ensembl:lncRNA
AAGCUUGUUGUAAUGAGAUGUUUUACUGAUGUGUAACUACUUCAAAUUUUUGUGCUCAAUUCAGUGUGUUACUUGCUAUUUCGUUGUAUUAAAUUGUGUAAUAUACUUGCAAUUUCUGAGUGUUUUUUUUUUUUUUUUUUUUUUUUUUUUUUUUUUUUUNAUCACUUCCAUCUUCACUGUCUCCAUUCAGUAAAAGUGUGGAAGAAACCAGACAAUAAAAAGGACAGAAGUGUACAUUUUUAUUCCAAAUGCAUGGGUUUUGUAAUUCCUUUUGGAACUAAAGGAAAAAGAACAGGCAGUUGUAUAGUCUGAUGUUUUCUCAAGUGUUCUUUUUUUUAUGGCUCUUGUUGGUUGAGAACUCAAUUUCUUGAUGAGACAUACAAGCACUUCCUGUCUCUUUCCUGUUGACAUGUGCAGCACAGACACCUUUAAAUGUUUAAGAAGCAGAACGACACACAGACAACACAUCACGAAAGUCACAACGGGUCUUCUGUCCACCAUGUUAACAUUUUUCAUGAAAAGCUUGUGAAGCAAACUACAAAUAUAUUGAGCAAAGGAAACCAAAAGAACAUAAAACAAGCUGAUAGUGGACAUCUAAAGAUCAGAAGAUGUCUUCAGCACCAAAAUUAA